rnacentral:rRNA from 1 species
GUGAGGUGGAGCAAAACUCAAAAACUUAGUCUCAGUUCGGAUUGUAGGCUGAAACUCGCCUACAUGAAGCUGGAGUUGCUAGUAAUCGCGCAUCAGCCACGGCGCGGUGAAUACGUUCCCGGGGCCUUGUACACACCGCCCGUCAAGCCAUGGGAGCCGGGGGUACCUGAAGUACGUAACCGCAAGGAGCGUCCUAGGGUAAAACUGGUGACUGGGGCUAAGUCGUAACAAGGUAUC